AUGCAAGUCGAACGAUGAAGCCCUUCGGGGUGGUUUAGUGGCGAACGGGUGAGUAACACGUGGGCAAUCUGCCCUGCACUCUGGGACAAGCCCUGGAAACGGGGUCUAAUACCGGAUAUCACUCUUGCAGGCAUCUGUGAGGGUCGAAAGCUCCGGCGGUGCAGGAUGAGCCCGCGGCCUAUCAGCUUGUUGGUGAGGUAAUGGCUCACCAAGGCGACGACGGGUAGCCGGCCUGAGAGGGCGACCGGCCACACUGGGACUGAGACACGGCCCAGACUCCUACGGGAGGCAGUAGUGGGGAAUAUUGCACAAUGGGCGAAAGCCUGAUGCAGCGACGCCGCGUGAGGGAUGACGGCCUUCGGGUUGAAAACCUCUUUCAGCAGGAAAGAAGCGAAAGUGACGGUACCUGCAGAAGAAGCGCCGGCUAACUACGUGCCAGCAGCCGCGGUAAUACGUAGGGCGCAAGCGUUGUCCGGAAUUAUUGGGCGUAAAGAGCUCGUAGGCGGCUUGUCACGUCGGGUGUGAAAGCCCGGGGCUUAACCCCGGGUCUGCAUUCGAUACGGGCCAGCUAGAGUGUGGUAGGGGAGAUCGGAAUUCCUGGUGUAGCGGUGA
rnacentral:rRNA from 1 species